rnacentral:ncRNA from 1 species
GAUAAUUGGGUUGUGGCAGCCAAGCGUUCUUAGUGACGUUGCUUUUUGAUCCUUGGAUGUCGGCUCUUCCUAUCAUUGCGAAGAAAAAUUCGCCAAGCGUUGAAUUGUUCACCCACCAACAGGGAACAGGGCUGGGUUUAGACCGUCGUGAGACAGGUU